rnacentral:rRNA from 1 species
UAAUACGUAGGGUGCGAGCGUUAAUCGGAAUUACUGGGCGUAAAGCGUGCGCAGGCGGCUUUUUAAGCCAGAUGUGAAAUCCCCGGGCUUAACCUGGGAACUGCAUUUGGAACUGGAAGGCUAGAGUGCGGCAGAGGGGGGUAGAAUUCCACGUGUAGCAGUGAAAUGCGUAGAGAUGUGGAGGAAUACCGAUGGCGAAGGCAGCCCCCUGGGUCGACACUGACGCUCAUGCACGAAAGCGUGGGGAGCAAACAGGAUUAGAUACCCUGGUAGUCCACGCCCUAAACGAUGUCUACUAGUUGUUGGAGGAGUGAAAUCCUUUAGUAACGAAGCUAACGCGUGAAGUAGACCGCCUGGGGAGUACGGUCGCAAGAUUAAAACUCAAAUGAAUUGACGG